rnacentral:rRNA from 1 species
AGGCAGCAGUGGGGAAUUUUGGACAAUGGGCGAAAGCCUGAUCCAGCAAUGCCGCGUGCAGGAAGAAGGCCUUCGGGUUGUAAACUGCUUUUGUACGGAACGAAACGGUCCUUUCUAAUAAAGAGGGCUAAUGACGGUACCGUAAGAAUAAGCACCGGCUAACUACGUGCCAGCAGCCGCGGUAAUACGUAGGGUGCGAGCGUUAAUCGGAAUUACUGGGCGUAAAGCGUGCGCAGGCGGUUAUAUAAGACAGUUGUGAAAUCCCCGGGCUCAACCUGGGAAUUGCAUCUGUGACUGUAUAGCUAGAGUACGGUAGAGGGGGAUGGAAUUCCGCGUGUAGCAGUGAAAUGCGUAGAUAUGCGGAGGAACACCGAUGGCGAAGGCAAUCCCCUGGACCUGUACUGACGCUCAUGCACGAAAGCGUGGGGAGCAAACAGGAUUAGAUACCCUGGUAG